rnacentral:rRNA from 1 species
AGGGUUUGAUCCUGGCUCAGAUUGAACGCUGGCGGCAUGCUUUACACAUGCAAGUCGAACGGCAGCGCGGAGGUGCUUGCACCUCUGGCGGCGAGUGGCGGACGGGUGAGUAAUGUAUGGGAAUAUGCCCGGCAGAGGGGGAUAACUUUGGGAAACCAAAGCUAAUACCGCAUACGCUCUACGGAGGAAAGCGGGGGAUCUUCGGACCUCGCGCUGACGGAGUAGCCCAUAUCCGAUUAGCUUGUUGGGGCGGUAACGGCGCACCAAGGCGAUGAUCGGUAGCUGGUCUGAGAGGAUGAUCAGCCACACCGGGACUGAGACACGGCCCGGACUCCUACGGGAGGCAGCAGUGGGGAAUAUUGGACAAUGGGGGCAACCCUGAUCCAGCAAUGCCGCGUGAGUGAAGAAGGCCUUCGGGUUGUAAAGCUCUUUCGCGGGGGAAGAAACGGCGCGGAUGAAUAAUCCGCGCAACUGACGGUACCCUGACAAGAAGCACCGGCUAACUACGUGCCAGCAGCCGCGGUAAUACGUAGGGUGCAAGCGUUAAUCGGAAUUACUGGGCGUAAAGCGUGCGUAGGCGGCCGCGCAAGUCAGAUGUGAAAGCCCCGGGCUUAACCUGGGAAAUGCGUUUGAAACUGCGUGGCUAGAGUUCGGCAGGGGAAGAUGGAAUUCCAUGUGUAGCGGUGAAAUGCGUAGAUAUAUGGAAGAACACUAAUGGCGAAGGCAUUCUUCUGGGCCGACACUGACGCUGAGUCACUAAAGCGUGGGGA